rnacentral:rRNA from 1 species
UACAGAGGUCCCGAGCGUUGUUCGGAUUCACUGGGCGUAAAGGGUGCGUAGGUGGUGGGGCAAGUUUGAUGUGAAAUCUCCGGGCUUAACCCGGAAAAUGCAUUGAAUACUGCCUGGCUUGAGGUUUGGAGGGGGUAGAAUUCCACGUGUAGCAGUGAAAUGCGUAGAGAUGUGGAAGAACACCGAUGGCGAAGGCAGCCCCCCUGGGGUCAAGAUUGACGCUCAUGCACGAAAGCGUGGGGAGCAAACAGG